UACGAAGGGGGGCUAGCGUUGUUCGGAAUUACUGGGCGUAAAGCGUGCGUAGGCGGUUUAUUCAAGUCAGAGGUGAAAGCCCGGGGGCUCAACCCCCGGAACUGCCUUUGAAACUAGAUAGCUAGAAUCUUGGAGAGUCAGUGGAAUUCCGAGUGUAGAGGUGAAAUUCGUAGAUAUUCGGAAGAACACCAGUGGCGAAGGCGACUGACUGGACAAGCAUUGACGCUGAGGCACGAAAGCGUGGGGAGCAAACAGG
rnacentral:rRNA from 1 species